AUUAAGUUAGGUGUGAAAGCCCUGGGCUCAACCUAGGAAUUGCACUUAAAACUGGUUAUCUGGAGUAUUGUAGAGGAAGGUAGAAUUCCACGUGUAGCGGUGAAAUGCGUAGAGAUGUGGAGGAAUACCGGUGGCGAAGGCGGCCUUCUGGACAGAUACUGACGCUGAGAUGCGAAAGCGUGGGGAGCAAACAGGAUUAGAUACCCUGGUAGUCCACGCUGUAAACGAUGUCGAUUUGGAGUUUGUUGCCUUGAGUGAUGGGCUCCGAAGCUAACGCGAUAAAUCGACCGCCUGGGGAGUACGGCCGCAAGGUUAAAACUCAAAUGAAUUGACGGGGGCCCGCACAAGCGGUGGAGCAUGUGGUUUAAUUCGAUGCAACGCGAAGAACCUUACCUGGUCUUGACAUCCAUAGAAUUCUGCAGAGAUGUGGAAGUGCCUUCGGGAGCUAUGAGACAGGUGCUGCAUGGCUGUCGUCAGCUCGUGUUGUGAAAUGUUGGGUUAAGUCCCGCAACGAGCGCAACCCUUAUCCUUUGUUGCCAUCGAUUAGGUCGGGAACUCAAAGGAGACUGCCGUUGAUAAAGCGGAGGAAGGUGGGGACGACGUCAAGUCAUCAUGGCCCUUACGACCAGGGCUACACACGUGCUACAAUGGCGUAUACAAAGGGAGGCGACCUCGCGAGAGCAAGCGGACCUCAUAAAGUACGUCUAAGUCCGGAUUGGAGUCUGCAACUCGACUCCAUGAAGUCGGAAUCGCUAGUAAUCGUGAAUCAGAAUGUCACGGUGAAUACGUUCCCGGGCCUUGUACACACCGCCCGUCACACCAUGGGAGUGGGUUGCACCAGAAGUAGAUAGCUUAACCUUCGGGAGGGCGUUUACCACGGUGUGGUCCAUGACUGGGGUGAAGUCGUAACAAGGUAACCGUAGGGGAACCUGCGGUUGGAUCACCUCCUUAC
rnacentral:rRNA from 1 species